UGACGGUACCGGAAGAAUAAGCACCGGCUAACUUCGUGCCAGCAGCCGCGGUAAUACGAAGGGUGCAAGCGUUACUCGGAAUUACUGGGCGUAAAGCGUGCGUAGGUGGUUCGUUAAGUCUGAUGUGAAAGCCCUGGGCUCAACCUGGGAAUUGCAUUGGAUACUGGCGGGCUAGAGUGCGGUAGAGGAUGGCGGAAUUCCCGGUGUAGCAGUGAAAUGCGUAGAGAUCGGGAGGAACAUCCGUGGCGAAGGCGGCCAUCUGGACCAGCACUGACACUGAGGCACGAAAGCGUGGGGAGCAAACAGGAUUAGAUACCCUGGUAGUCCACGCCCUAAACGAUGCGAACUGGAUGUUGGGUGCAACUUGGCACUCAGUAUCGAAGCUAACGCGUUAAGUUCGCCGCCUGGGGAGUACGGUCGCAAGACUGAAACUCAAAGGAAUUGACGG
rnacentral:rRNA from 1 species